AGAGUUUUAUCCUGGCUCAGGAUGAACGCUGGCGGCAUGCCUAAUACAUGCAAGUCGAACGAGAGGAAGGAAAGCUUGCUUUUCUGAAUCUAGUGGCGAACGGGUGAGUAACACGUAGGUAACCUGCCCAUGUGCCCGGGAUAACUUCUGGAAACGGAUGCUAAAACCGGAUAGGUAGCAGACAAGCAUUUGACUGCUAUUAAAGUGGCUAAGGCCAUGAACAUGGAUGGACCUGCGGUGCAUUAGCUAGUUGGUGAGGUAACGGCCCACCAAGGCGACGAUGCAUAGCCGGCCUGAGAGGGCGGACGGCCACAUUGGGACUGAGACACGGCCCAAACUCCUACGGGAGGCAGCAGUAGGGAAUUUUCGUCAAUGGGGGGAACCCUGAACGAGCAAUGCCGCGUGAGUGAGGAAGGUCUUCGGAUCGUAAAGCUCUGUUGUAAGAGAAAAACGAUAUUCAUAGGGAAUGAUGAGUGAGUGAUGGUAUCUUACCAGAAAGUCACGGCUAACUACGUGCCAGCAGCCGCGGUAAUACGUAGGUGGCGAGCGUUAUCCGGAAUGAUUGGGCGUAAAGGGUGCGUAGGUGGCAGAACAAGUCUGGAGUAAAAGGUAUGGGCUCAACCCGUACUGGCUCUGGAAACUGUUCAGCUAGAGAACAGAAGAGGACGGCGGAACUCCAUGUGUAGCGGUAAAAUGCGUAGAUAUAUAGAAGAACACCGGUGGCGAAGGCGGCCGUCUGGUCUGUUGCUGACACUGAAGCACGAAAGCGUGGGGAGCAAAUAGGAUUAGAUACCCUAGUAGUCCACGCCGUAAACGAUGAGAA
rnacentral:rRNA from 1 species